GUGCCAGCAGCCGCGGUAAUACCAGCUCCGCGAGUGGUCUGGGCUUUUAUUGGGCCUAAAGCGCCCGUAGCCGGCCUGGUAAGUUCGUGUCUAAAUACCGAGGCUCAACCUCGGAAAUGGUGCGAAUACUACCAGGCUAGGGGGCGAGAGAGGCUGGGAGUACUCCUGGAGUAGGGGCGAAAUCCGUAGAUCCCAGGAGGACUACCAGUGGCGAAGGCGCCCAGCUAGAGCGCGCCCGACGGUGAGGGGCGAAAGCCGGGGCAGCAAACCGGAUUAGAUACCCGGGUAGUCCCGGCCGUAAACUAUGCGGACUAUGUGUCAGGUGGGCUUAGGGUCCACCUGGUGCAACAGGGAAGUCCUUUAAGUCCGCCGCCUGGGGAGUACAGCCGCAAGGCCGAAACUUAAAGGAAUUGGCGGGGGAGCACCACAAGGGGUGGAACCUGCGGCUCAAUUGGAGUCAACACCUGGAAUCUCACCGGGGGAGACCGCAGAAUGACGGCCAGGCUGACGACCUUGCCAGACUCGCGGAGAGGAGGCGCAUGGCCGUCGCCAGCUCGUGUUGUGAAAUGUCCGGUUAAGUCCGGCAACGAGCGAGACCCA
rnacentral:rRNA from 1 species